AGGAACCUGCCUUCCAGAGGGGGACAACAGUUGGAAACGACUGCUAAUACCGCAUGAUGCAUUGAAGUCGCAUGGCUUUGAUGUCAAAGAUUUAUCGCUGGAAGAUGGCCUCGCGUCUGAUUAGCUAGUUGGUGAGGUAACGGCCCACCAAGGCGACGAUCAGUAGCCGGACUGAGAGGUUGGCCAGCCACAUUGGGACUGAGAUACGGCCCAGACUCCUACGGGAGGCAGCAG
rnacentral:rRNA from 1 species